rnacentral:tRNA from 1 species
GCGUCCGGUGGGAAGGCUCUUCGGCUGGAUCGCGGCCGGGAUCGCCGUCUGCAUGGCGGUGGUCCUGGUGUCACUCCCGGUGGGCGCGC